rnacentral:rRNA from 1 species
UACGAAGGGGCUAGCGUUGCUCGGAAUCACUGGGCGUAAAGCGCACGUAGGCGGACUCUUAAGUCGGUGGUGAAAUCCUGGAGCUCAACUCCAGAACUGCCUUCGAGACUGGUUUGCUAGAGCCGGAAGAGGAGAGUGGAAUUCCCGGUGUAGCGGUGAAAUGCGCAGAUAUCGGGAAGAACACCCGUGGCGAAGGCGGCUCUCUGGGACGGUACUGACGCUG